CCUACGGGUGGCAGCAGUGGGGGAUAUUGCACAAUGGUGGAAACCCUGAUGCAGCGACGCCGCGUGUAGGAAGACGGUCCUCUGGAUUGUAAACUACUGUCCCCAGGGACGAAGAUGACGGUACCUGGGGAGGAAGCUCCGGCUAACUACGUGCCAGCAGCCGCGGUAAUACGUAGGGAGCGAGCGUUGUCCGGAAUUACUGGGUGUAAAGGGAGCGUAGGCGGGGAUGCAAGUUGGGUGUUAAAUCUACCGGCUCAACUGGUAGUCGCACUCAAAACUGCAGCUCUUGAGUGAAGUAGAGGCAGGCGGAAUGCCGAGUGGAGCGGUGAAAUGCGUAGAUAUUAGGAGGAACACCAGUGGCGAAGGCGGCCUGAUGGGCUUUUACUGACGCUGAGGCUGGAAAGUGUGGGGAGCAAACAGGAUUAGAUACCCUGGUAGUC
rnacentral:rRNA from 1 species